AGAGUUUGAUCAUGGCUCAGGACGAACGCUGGCGGCGUGCUUCAUACAUGCAAGUCGAACGAGAAGCUGGCUUCGGUCAGUGGAAAGUGGCGGACGGGUGAGUAACACGUAGGAAAUCUGCCCUUUAGUGGGGGACAACAGUUGGAAACGACUGCUAAUACCCCAUAUGAGAUAGGCUGAAAUGCUUAUCUUGAAAACUCCGGUGCUAAAGGAUGAGCCUGCGGCUGAUUAGCUUGUUGGCGGGGUAAAUGCCCACCAAGGCGACGAUCAGUAGCUGGUUUGAGAGGAUGAUCAGCCACAAUGGGACUGAGACACGGCCCAUACUCCUACGGGAGGCAGCAGUAGGGAAUUUUGCGCAAUGGGCGAAAGCCUGACGCAGCAACGCCGCGUGAAUGUUAAGCCCUUCGGGGUGUAAAGUUCUGUCAGUGGGGACGAAACUUGACGGUACCCACAGAGGAAGCACCGGCUAACUCCGUGCCAGCAGCCGCGGUAAUACGGAGGGUGCAAGCGUUGUCCGGAAUCAUUGGGCGUAAAGCGUUCGUAGGCGGUAUAUCAAGUCUGGUGUUAAAUACCGGGGCUCAACUCCGGCAUGGCAUUGGAUACUGAUAAACUUGAAUGCGGUAGAGGUAAAGGGAAUUCCUGGUGGAGCGGUGAAAUGCUAAGAUAUCAGGAGGAACAUCAGUGGCGAAAGCGCUUUACCGGACCGUGAUUGACGCUGAGGAACGAAAGCCGGGGGAGCAAAUGGGAUUAGAUACCCCAGUAGUCCCGGCCGUAAACGAUGGAUACUAGGUGUUGCGGGU
rnacentral:rRNA from 1 species